rnacentral:lncRNA from 1 species
GCGUAUGCUGGUCAGAUCUGGGGAUUAAUGAUGGCUAAUUUGCCUGAGGUUGGUGCAGCCCAGGCAGCAGACUUUGCACAACCAGCUUUUGCUGCCAUAUGGGCGGAAGCAGCUGUUUCAAUUACUUUCUGUGCCCAGAUGUGUCAGACGAGCCACCAGUCCUCUGCGGGGUACAUCAGCCGCACGGCAGCUAAUUGCUUCAAUCGCGUGUGGAAGCGUGGUGCUGGGUACCGUGAAAGGGGGUUUUGGGGACAGCCAAGUGCCAGCUGUCGUCACGGCUCACAAUGCCAGCAAGCUGAGAGGCUGAGACUAGACUUCAGUCUUCACUUACUGGCCCGCCUCGAUGACACCCGGUCUGGCUGUGUCUUUGUGAAUUGUAUACAAUGGCGGUCCAGAGACAGUCAAACCAUGCAUGGAGGCUGUGAACUACCCAUCUCCAUCACAGUAAACCAGCGCUUCAACACUGCCCCCACUGUGAACUACCCAUCUCUGGCCCAGUAAACCAGCGCUUCAACACUGGUCUGCCUGCCUAAUGUUACAUCUCGAGUUGAAUCUUCCUUGAUUCUGGAACACAGUUAUUCAUUUCCCUUCUGAAACUGGCCACUCCAAGCAAAUCACAAUAUACUAGUUUUGUUGUUGUUGUUAUUAUUAUUAUUAAUAGUGAAUGUGGUAGUGGUGUGCAUCUAUGUGUUUAAGAAGAUAAUCAUGAAGAACUAUGUUUCGUAAGAAAAAUAUCAAUAGGAUUUUUAGAGACUGAGUACCAAAGAGCAUUGUUUGAGAUAUUUGUGAUCCUGAGCACCAGAUAAAUUGGAUCAGCUCUUCCUAAAAUCGGGAAGCUGGCAUGAUUUUCACCUAUCAAUUGAGAUAUAACAAAUGACUCCCAAAUUAAGUGGCAUAAAACCAUAAGGACUUUCUGUUUCCCAUGCUUUUGUGGUUGGUCUGGACAGUUCUGCUACACGCACCAUUCACAAGGAGGCUGGGUUCAGUGGGCAGCCAAGCUGGGCUGGGCUGGAUGUUCUCCAGGCAAUCCUCCUGCACCCAGGCCUUGGUGCUCACUGUCAGUGGGAGGCUGGCUCUCCCUACCCUUGCCUCUCCCUCUAGGGGUUAUGUCCUCCUCCAGGGUCUCUGGACGUGGCCUGUCUCUAGAAGAGGAGCUCAGUCACCCUUGUUGUCGACAACUGAUUUCCAAAACAGCAAGGUCAGAACCUUCCAAACACAUGUUCUAGGCCUGUGACAACCCAGUUCUGCCCCAGAAGAGGGCCUGCAUGCACAGAGAGGCCAGGGGAGGACCAUGGUGAAAGUUUAGAGGCCUCACAGAGUAAGUUUGAGGGUGUGCAGACAUGGAAUAAAGAGAUUGUAUCUGAAAUAAGUAAAUAAGUU